ACCUGAGUAGCACAAAUGGUUAAGCGCUUGACUACUAACCAAAAGGUUGGUGGUUCGAACCUACUCAGAGGUA
rnacentral:tRNA from 1 species